rnacentral:rRNA from 1 species
GACGAACGCUGGCGGCGUGCUUAACACAUGCAAGUCGAACGGAAAGGCCCUGCUUUUGUGGGGUGCUCGAGUGGCGAACGGGUGAGUAACACGUGAGUAACCUGCCCUUGACUUUGGGAUAACUUCAGGAAACUGGGGCUAAUACCGGAUAGGAGCUCUUCUGCAUGGUGGGGGGUGGAAAGUUUCGGCGGUUGGGGAUGGACUCGCGGCUUAUCAGCUUGUUGGUGGGGUAGUGGCUUACCAAGGCUUUGACGGGUAGCCGGCCUGAGAGGGUGACCGGCCACAUUGGGACUGAGAUACGGCCCAGACUCCUACGGGAGGCAGCAGUGGGGAAUAUUGCACAAUGGGCGGAAGCCUGAUGCAGCAACGCCGCGUGCGGGAUGACGGCCUUCGGGUUGUAAACCGCUUUCGCCUGUGACGAAGCGUGAGUGACGGUAAUGGGUAAAGAAGCACCGGCUAACUACGUG